CAAUCCUCCUGCCACAGCCUCCCAAGUAGUUGGGACCACAGAAGACAUCGCUGGCCUUCCAGGCUGGGUGAGGCAACCACUGUGGGCUCCCAAGCCUUUACGCGUCCCCAACCCAGCCCUGACUCUCUGAGUCAUCAAGGCCUGAGGACAAUCUGUGUUCCCAGUGAUGGCACAUGGCCCGCUAUUAUGUCUCUGCUGUGUCCUCUGCAGCACGUCGGGGUAGCAGGGACCAGCUUGCAAGCUUGAAGUGUGCAGAUGGAACACAGAGCACUCCAGCCACCCAGGCAGAUAUCAGAGGAUGGGCCCUCAGGCACUGAUUCCUGUCUGUCACCUGGGAGAGGCUCCCUGAGGCCAGGUGGAAAUCAUACCCGGAUGCCACCAGAAUGAUGAUUCAGCCCUUUCCGUGCUUGUUCCAGAGGGGAAGCCCAUGAAAGGAGGACAGCCAGUGCUCUCCUGUGUGCCACGUUCCAGAAGCUCAGUCUCACUCUGUCGCGCAGGCUGGAGUGCAGUGGCACGAUC
rnacentral:lncRNA from 1 species